rnacentral:rRNA from 1 species
GACGAACGCUGGCGGCGUGCUUAACACAUGCAAGUCGAACGGAGUGGCGAACGGGUGAGUAACACGUGGGUGAACUGCCUUGCACUUCGGGGUAAGCUUGGGAAACUGGGUCUAAUACCGGAUAGUGCAAGAUGAGCUCGCGGCCUAUCAGCUGGGUGGUGGGGUAAUGGACUACCAAGGAGGUGACGGGUAGCCGGCCUGAGAGGGUGUACGGCCACAUUGGGACUGAGAGACGGCCCAGACUCCUACGGGAGGCAGCAGUGGGGAAUAUUGCACAAUGGGCGGAUGCCUGAUGCAGCGACGCCGCGUGGGGGAUGAAGGUCUUCGGGUUGUAAACUCCUUUCGACAGGGACGCGGUACCUGUAUAAGAAGCACCGGCUAACUACGUGCCAGCAGCCGCGGUAAUUC